GACGAACGCUGGCGGCGUGCCUAACACAUGCAAGUCGAACGGAACUGUUUUGAAAGAUUUCUUCGGAAUGAAUUUGAUUUAGUUUAGUGGCGGACGGGUGAGUAACGCGUGAGUAACCUGCCUUCAAGAGGGGGAUAACAUUCUGAAAAGAAUGCUAAUACCGCAUGACAUAUCGGAACCACAUGGUUUUGAUAUCAAAGAUUUUAUCGCUUGAAGAUGGACUUGCGUCCGAUUAGUUAGUUGGUGAGGUAACGGCUCACCAAGACCGCGAUCGGUAGCCGGACUGAGAGGUUGAACGGCCACAUUGGGACUGAGACACGGCCCAGACUCCUACGGGAGGCAGCAGUGGGGGAUAUUGCGCAAUGGGGGCAACCCUGACGCAGCAACGCCGCGUGAAGGAUGAAGGUUUUCGGAUUGUAAACUUCUUUUAUUAAGGACGGAAAAUGACGGUAC
rnacentral:rRNA from 1 species